rnacentral:rRNA from 1 species
GAUGAACGCUGGCGGCGUGCUUAACACAUGCAAGUCGAGCGAAGCACUUAUGAUGAUCCUUCGGAUGAAUCAUUUGUGACUGAGCGGCGGACGGGUGAGUAACGCGUGAGUAACCUGCCUCAUACAGGGGAAUAACAGUUAGAAAUGACUGCUAAUGCCGCAUAAGCGCACAGGGCCGCAUGGCCCGGUGUGAAAAACUCCGGUGGUAUGAGAUGGACUCGCGUCUGAUUAGCUGGUUGGCAGGGUAACGGCCUACCAAGGCGACGAUCAGUAGCCGGCCUGAGAGGGUGAACGGCCACAUUGGGACUGAGACACGGCCCAAACUCCUACGGGAGGCAGCAGUGGGGAAUAUUGCACAAUGGGGGAAACCCUGAUGCAGCGACGCCGCGUGAGUGAAGAAGUAUUUCGGUAUGUAAAGCUCUAUCAGCAGGGAAGAAAAUGACGGUACCUGACUAAGAAGCCCCGG